rnacentral:rRNA from 1 species
GAUGAACGCUGGCGGCGUGCCUAAUACAUGCAAGUCGAGCGAACAGAUCAGGAGCUUGCUCCUUUGACGUUAGCGGCGGACGGGUGUGUAACACGUGGGUAACCUACCUAUAAGACUGGGAUAACUUCGGGACACCGGCGCUAAUACCGGAUAACAUUUGGAACCGCAUGGUUCUAAAGUGAAAGAUGGUUUUGCUAUCACUUAUAGAUGGACCCGCGCCGUAUUAGCUAGUUGGGAAGGUAACGGCUUACCAAGGCGACGAUACGUAUCCGACCUGAGAGGGGGAUCGGCGACACGGGAACGGGGCCACGGUCCAGGCUACUACGGUAGGCAGCAGUAGGGAACCGUACGCAAUGGGGGAAAGCCUGACGGAGCAACGGCGCGUGAGUGAUGAAGGGUUUCGGCUCGUAAAACUCUGUUAUUAGGGAAGAACAAACGUGGAAGUAACUGUGCACGUCUUGACGGUACCUAAUCAGAAAGCCACGGCUAACUACGUG